rnacentral:tRNA from 1 species
UCCCUGGUGGCUCAGAGGGUAAAGCGUCUGCCUGCAAUGCAGGAAUCCCGGGUUUGAUUCCUGGGUCGGGAA